UAAACGUUUUGUCAAAUAGUAAUAAAAUUUCAUUACUAUUAAAUAAAAUUGUCCCUCAGUGUGGGCUAGAUAUCAGAGAUGCACAGGUCUGAUAGGGUCUGAGCGUAUUUAAGGCUUCAGACAUGAACAGACAUGAGCAGGCAUGAACAGGCAUGAACAGGUCUGAUCAGGUCUGAACGAAUCUAACGCUUCAGAGCAUGAACAGACAUGAGCAGGCAUGAACAGGUCUGAUCAGGAUCUGAGCGUAUCUAAUGCU